CUCCAGUGUCCAGUGACCUCCUCUACCUCCUCCAGUGAACACUUCCACUAGAGGUACUUCCUGCUUCAGUGCUGCACAACGUUCACGCUCUACAUGGAGACUCUGAUCUUUCCCCAUAGAGAUGCAUUGAUGAUCUCAGCCGGAUUGGGGCAGAGCAAGCACAGGCGGACACCCAUGGCACUAGAAUAAAGGUGAGUUUUUACUAUAUUUAUAGGGGGCAAGGAGGGGCCGGCCACCUAAAUAGUGUUUUUAACACUAUAGGGUCAUGAAUAUACAUUUGUUUUCUUUAAAGUAUCACUAUAGUGUCAGGAAAACAUAACGGUUUUCUUGACACUAUAGUGCCUUGAGGGUGCCCCCACCCUCAGGGUCCCCCUCCCUUGGCGCUGAAGGGGUUAAAACCCCUUCAGCAGCUUACCUUAUUCCAGCUCUGGGCUCCCUCAACGCUGGUGAUCUCUCCUCCCCCGCCGACGUCAGCUCCAUCUGCCGACGUCAGCUGAGGCGCAUGCGCGGCAAGUGCCAUGCACGCGCGCAUUUAAGCCCGCAUUCAAGCUGUCAAUAGGAAAGCAUUUUUCAAUAAUAAUAUGAUAAUAAUAUAAUAUACCUCCAGCGUCACAGAUGCACCUCUAAUGGCUGUCCAGAAGACAGCCACUAGAGGCUGGUUUAACCCCAAAUGGAAACAUAGCAGUUUCUCUGAAACUGCUAUGUUUGCAUCUGAAGUGUUAAAACCUGAGGGACAUUGCACCCAGACCACUUCUCUGAAACUGCUAUGUUUGCAUCUGAAGGGUUAAAACCUGAGGGACAUUGCACCCAGACCACUUCAUUGAGCUGAAGUAGUCUGGGUGACUAUAGUGUCACUUUAAUAUAUAACGCUGUAUACAUCUCUUAAUGAAGUGGUCUGGGUGCAGUGGUCCUGCUUUUUAACCCUGCAAUAUAAAACAUUUCAGGGUUAGAUACACCUCUAGUGACUGCCUUCCAGAUCGCCAUUAGAGGUGCUUUUAAAUACAGAACCGAAUGAAACUUAGUCCUGCAAUCAAAUGCUGCUCAUAGAACUUGGCCAUGCAUGCAUAUCUAGAAUCCAAUGCUUCUCUAUGAGAAGCAUUGGAUUGGACAAGAUUGUGGAAGAUAUUAGCAGCCAUGCUGAUGUCUUCUGGGAUGAAGCAGGUGGCUGCAGAAGAGAAGUCUCAGCGCUGUUAAAGAGAUAAGUAAUCAUUAUUUAACUUACAUAUUUAGCAGCAAAGGAGAUGGACAGUGAUCACGUCAAUAGACUAGAAGCUUAAGUCCCUAAAAAUCUUUUUUUAUUUUUGGACUAAAGAUUACCUUUAAUAAUACUACAGUUUUUCAGUUGUUGCCUAAAUGGCCCUUUAAAAUUUACAUAUAUCUCUUCCACAAACCUAAGCAAUAUGUAUUUGUUGUGAUUGUAUAAAACAGUGUAUAUUUUAUAGUUUAAACCUAAAGAUGCCAUUCAGUGUUGCUUUUUACACGUUAAAGGGACACUAUAGUCACCAAAACAACUUUAGCUUAAUUAAGCAGUUUUUUCGACCCCUAGUCACUUUGUUUUUUCGACCCCUAGUCACACCUCCCUGCAUGUGACUUGCAGAGACUUCCUAAACACGUCCUGUAAAGAAAUAUCUACAGUUUAUCCUUCCAUUAUCGCAAGUUCUGUUUAAUUUAGAUUUUCUUAUCCCCUGCUAUGUUAAUAGCUUGCUAGACCAUGCAAGAGCCUCUUCUUUGUAAUUAAAGUUCAAUUUACAGAGAAAGAGAUACAAUUGUUUAACCCCUUAAGGACCAAACUUCAGGAAUAAAAGGGAAUCAUGACAUGUCACACAUGUCAUGUGUCCUUAAGGGGUUAAGGUAAAUUACAUCUGAUUAAAAGUGAAACCAGUUUUUUUCAUGCAGGUUGAGUCAAUCAGAGCCAGGGGAGGUGUGACAAGGGCUGCAUAAACAGAAACAAAGUGAUUUAACUCCUAAAUUGCAGAUAAUUGAGCAGUACAACUCGAGAAGCAUGAUCUACACACUAAAACUGCUUCAUUAAGCUAAAGUUGUUUAGGUGACUAUAAUGUUCCUUUAAUACAUUGCUGUCUUUUGUUGUCAUUUUAAUCUCGAUCUAAUGGUGUUAAAAAAGGGACAUCACAUCCUAAUUAACAUGCAGUUACUAGUGAUGUCCCGAACUGUUCGCCACGGACUCAUCAUUGAGUAAACUUUGACCCUGUACCUCACAGUCAGCAGACACAUUCCAGCCAAUCAGCAGAAGACCCUCCCUCCCAUACCCUCCCACCUCCUGGACAGCUCACUAAGAAUGCAGCUUCACAAUGGAUGCUGUCCAGGAGGUGGGAGGGAGGGUCUGCUGCUGAUUGGCUGGAAUGUGUCUGCUGACUGUGAGGUACAGGGUCAAAGUUUACUCGAUGAUGAGUCCGUGGCGAACCGUUCGGCGAACAGUUCGGGACAUCACUAGCAGUUACUAUAGUAUAGUUGUUUAAAGAGUUACUCUAAGCACCAUGACCACUACAGUAAUUUGAAGUGGUCAUGGUGCCUGGAGUAUGUGCAGUGUUUACGAAUAACUGCAGAUAUGGAAUUUAGCCCAUAUGCUACCUCCAGCAGCCCCGUGGGGUAUGGUCAUGAUUCUGAGCAGGUCAGAUAUGAGACUUUGGCCAGAGUUAACAAUAGGUUCUUUAUUGCUGGAUUUGGACAUAAAAGAAUAAAAAAGGAUAACCUAUAACUGAAAUUAUAGGAACAAGAGAGAGAAAACAGAAAUAAAGGGAUUUAGGCAAUAUGCCCUAAAUAGAAUAUAAACAGGAAUAUAAGUAAAUACUAAGAAAACCUAUAGAUAAAAGUAUAGGUUAAAAUAGAAGGACAAAUAAAACAGAACAAUAAGGUUGCAGGAUUACAGGAAAAGGAGGAGAACUUUAGUUAGUAAGCCCCCUAUUGGAAGGAGUAUUGCUCAAGCAGGAAAAUAACACCAUGUGGUAUUACUUUGAGGCAAAGUCCAGAGUAGUGUUAUGCAGGCAGGUAUGGCGCAGAGAGGUUGUAUGGAUUAAGCAGGUAUAUCAGGAUGGCAGGAUAAAGCUGAAUAGUUGUGAAAUUCAGGUUGGUAUUGUGCAGAUUGGAAGUCAAGCAGGAAUGCAGAGUUGUUUAGGCUGGUAUGGAGCAGGUGAGUAAGUAAAGCAGGAAAGCAGAGUUGUUCAGGCAAGUCUGCAGCAGGUUUGAAGUCAAGAAGGUAAGUCCACAGGAGCUAGGAUCUGAAGUGUUUCAGGUAAGUCAACAAUUUCAAUUUAAAGGCGAUGUGGUGAGUUGGGCGUAACCUUUUGUAGGACCUUAAUUAGUCCAGGCAGGUAAGGAUGAUAAGGUGAGUUUCCACUAGAGGCAAAGGAGGUCACUAGUGGUAAAAUAUAAUCAGUGCAGGACCUUGGUUUUAAAGGAACAGAAUAAACUGAACAAAAGUCUUGUUUGUCAGGAUAGGAUCCUGACAGGUAUCCAUUAACCAGCCCCGAACUAGAGAAGCACAUCAUUAGACCACCAGGAAGCCAGGCAGGUAUCCAGAGAAAGGGUCAAACUGUUGCUGAGUUCUUUGCCCCAUUACUGGGAAACUGGAGUAGGAUACUCCUCACAACAUAACCACUACAGAGGGCUGUAAUACUUAUGAUAAUUGGAGCAACCCUUUAAGAUGUCAUAUCGUGUCAAGACCUCAAACACGUUCAAUGCUAUGUACUUGUCUUGUAAUUUUAAGUGGUAGGAUCUUUACUUGGUCUGUCCUUCUGUCUGUGCUCUUCUCUCCUCCACUCUUGUGGACUAGUGUAGAGCAGACAUGUGUGAUCGUAUCUAGACAAAGGAUGUGUUUCCCCUGUGCUAACUAUUUCAUGGCGUUCAUUACGCAGGGUAACGUUGUGCUGAAUCUCAUCUGUAGCACACUCCAAGAGGUGUAGAUUAAGAAAUGAUCAGGGAACUCAAAACUGCUUUCAACUUAUGUUUUAAAUUCUAAGGUGUAUUACAUACUUCUGUUCAUAUGUUUUAAAACUACUUGCCUGCAAUCCUAUAAUUUUGUAAUCCAAAAUGGAAUGUGCGAGUUUGUAUGUCAUUUUUUUAAAAGCAAUACGUUGCUUGUGUGAUAUUUCAUGUUAAACAAUGUUUACAUUUUGAUGUUAAACUUGACAUUGUUCAUUAUGUGAAGCUCUCUAAUGAGGACAUAUCCAUCCAUGCAUUCUUCACAAAUUACACAAGUGAUCAUAAUGCUAGCUAUUUUAUUUAAAGCGUCAAUAAAAACAUUUUUGCAAACUUAUAUUUUACAAUGAAAAUGCAGUAGUACAUGUGUCUAGUUCUCUAAUCAGUCUUCCAUGUUUUUAGUCCUGUGGCCGAAAGGGCCUACUUGAGGUUUACAGGACCCCUGAUCUUCCCACUUGUCCUUUCUGACAAACAUGUUGAUUUUUCUUUUUAUCUUUGUACCUUCUAUACUCUGUGCACUACCACGUGUGUCGUAUCCCCUUUGUGAUAUGCAUAUCUCUCCUAUGGCCUUUUCUGCUCCUCUUGUGCUCCUAGUAUCCCUCCACUACGCACUAGGCCAUCUUGUUCUUCACAUUGUCUGUCUGCAGCACACAUAAUAAAAAUAUUCUCCCAUUGUCUCAGUUUUUGUAUAGCUGCCUGUCUCCUUGAGACUCCAAGGCGACAUGUGUUCUUAAGUGGCCCUCUUAUAUCCCCCUCCCCUUAUUCCCAAUUGUUACUCUUGUAACUAGUUCCUGGUCUACCUGCCAAUCUCACUGCACCAGCUAUUCCAUGUGCUCCCAGCUGUCCAUCUAUUGUCCCAAAUGUCCUGUUAUUGAACUCUCCCGCCUAUAGCCAACCUUAUUUGUGGCACAUGUGACCCUGCUGUGCUACCAAGUAUUUAACAUUCAAUUAUCCUAUCUUUUCUGUGUGUAAAAAUAUGUUCCCCUUGCAAACUACACUGCAAUGCAUACUUUAAUCCACUACUAUUAAGACAUUGUUUUUGUCUGUUGGAAAGUCAAGGUUUUUAUUUUAUCACAGUAGCUGGUGGAUAUUGUCCGUGUAAAUACUGUCCUUGAUGGGUUUACUAGCAAACAACCUCUAUAUAACGGGUUUACAAGCAAAUUAUAUCACCAGCAAACACUAGAUGGCGGAAAAGGGCAAUAAUAUAAACUAUGGGCCAUUAGUAAGGUGAAAAGCCCAAGAGAAGAAUGAUCGUAUUCUGUUGCUUGUAAUAAAAAAUAAUGGUGAAUACUUGGCUCUAAUAUUUGGAAUAAUACCGAUAUAAAGUACUCAAAAUGUGCAACCAAUACCCAAACAAACUGUGCUAAGUGUAAUCUCAUUUUCAAGUAUGACCCAGGACAUACUUGAAAAGACCCAGGACAUACUUGAAAACGAGAUAAAUCACAAUGUAUACAUCCUGGUAAAAUAUUUUAUAAAUAACUUAUCGAUUAUAACCUUUCCAUGACAAAAUGUGGUUUAUGCAAUCCCAUUAUGAAACAUAUAAAGUGGGUAGUUUACAAAAAUUACUUUAUUUAAUAAAGGACUAUCAAAAAUACAAGAAAUAAGUUUCCCAAAAAUUACAAAAUAGGCAGAUACUUUAAAUAUAUGCGUUCAGCUUUGGUAUGUGCUAUUAGGUGCCAAUGUAUUGUCAACAUAUCUGUGUAUUUUGUGAUUUUUGGAAGUGUUUUUUUUAUUUUUUAGAAUUUUGAUAUAAGUUUGAUAAAGGUAUUUGUGUAAAUUACUCACUUUAUAUGUUUCAUCAUUGCAGUUUAUAAACCACAUUAGCAAGGUUAAACUGCAACAACGCAGAGGCAAAGUGUAACAUAGAACCAUUAGGGAACAUAAUGGUCAGAGGAAGGUUACUUGUUCACUCUCCCUCACUAUUUGUAUAGGGGUUAGCUAAGUAUCUUCAUGGCUCCUGUUUGGCUCCUGUGCAGCUGUGCUCAGCACCCAUCACCUCUACCGCAGCAUUCAUCAUUCAAAAUUUAAAAGUCCAUGAAUGUAAUUGAUAUCUAGAACAGGGGUUCCCAAAAGGAAAAUCUCUGGUUGUUAUAGAACUACAACUCCCAUGAAGCUUUGCAUGUCUGCAGAAUGCUUUUAAGUGACAAAGCAUCAUGGAAGCUGUAGUUUUAAAACAUCUGGGGUCUACCUUUUGGGCACCCCUGUUCUAGAUAUCAAUUACAUUCAGCCUGGAUACAAAGAUAAACUGAGAGCACUGGGCUAAUAAAAAAAUAAAAAAAACUCUCCCACCCCACUGCCUUGCCGACUGAACCAAAUUAACACUGAAAACACAAUAAUGUAAAGUCCAUAUUUUUUAAGAGCUGUGGCAAAACCAACCUCGCCACUGUACACUGGAGAAGCCUGGUUGCUCGCCUGCUCCCUUUAGAUUAUGGCCCUGCAGUUCAGACCUGUUAUUUUCCCUGCUGAAAGGUUUAUUCAUGCCUUUCUGCCAGGGUGUUCGGUAGAUUCAAUCUACCGAACAAACUACCGAACGAUGGACCACCUGGGAACUGGAGUGUGCCGUCAAUUGACCGCCCAGAAGCUGCGGUUAACCGCAGCUUAAUUAAUGAACGCUGGGAGGCCUUUGUUCAGUUGCUGAACACGUGGCAGCAGCCAUUUUACCUCCCGAACGGCCAGAGGUGUUCAGCGCCUAAACUAUGGAACUGAAAACGGACACUUAAUUGCACGAACACCGCUAAGCCGCCAGCCUCCUUCCCUUCCCAUACGAGAGCGGAACCGAAUGACUGUUCAUUCGGUAGUUUAACCGGAUGAACAGCAUCACCCAGAUAGCUAAGCCAUGGAGCCUGUUCAUGUAACGAAAAGAAGGACUUUGGCUCCAUGGCGAUUGAACUGUAUGUAUGUGAUCUGAGCGCCAUUCGGUAAUAAUGUGUGCUCAGAUCUGAGCUAUCUGGGGAUAUGUAGAACGUAUAUGUUUUAUUUACUGAAUGUAACUGUAGAUAAUUUUAUGUCUUUUACUGUUUGUUUUCUGCCAUGUGGUUAAUGGAGUUUUGCCUCUGUCUUUGGAGAUAAUUGAAUUACUUCCCAAUUAUCUCCAGGGCAGAGAGGAGGGAUUGUGAUGCAUUGUGGGAUGGUUGAAAUGUGUAAGUCUGUGAUUGGUCCUUUUACCCUUUGUGUCCCAGUCUCCCAUUUGGUCCCCUAGGGGAGUGUCCACCAGGUGGGAGACCUGCAUAAAGGCCAGGCAGUUAGCCCCAGUAAAGCAGUUCCUGCUUAACCCUCAAAGUGCAGUGUCGUCUCAUUAUUGGGGGAGGAUUUACUGUAUGCUGUUAGAGACUGAUUGCCAGGAGUGUAAGCCGCUUGGGGGCUUUUCCUCUUCGUCUGCUAGCAGCUAUUCAUGUGUCUCCAGUUCGGGAGUUUGGAGUGCCCCUUGGUAUGCAGUUCGGGAGUUUCGAGUAUUCCCUUGGUUGCAGUUCGGGAGUUGGUGAAUUCGUGGGUUUGCAGUUCGGGAGAUUGGUGCUUGAAUGAAAUGUUGCCAUGUUUUUAUUGAACACACCAUGUAAACAUUCACAGUGCAGGUGGAAAAAGUAUGUGAAUCCCUAGACUAAUUUCAUUCUUUGUGUGUUAUUAGUUUAAGCAGACUGUGAUUGUCUAUUGUUGUGACUUAGAUGAUGAUCAGAUCACAUUUUAUGACCAAUUUGUGCAGAAAUCCAUAUCAUUCCAAAGGGUAGGGCCGGAUUAACAUAGGGGCUGAUGGAGCUGCAGCUCCAGGCCCAGGCCCAGGCCCAUGGAAUAGGCCCAUUGAUUUAAAAAAAAAAAAAAAAACACUACUCUUAGGGAUUCCACCUGGCUUUUAUUUUAUUGGCACAGCCAGUAUUUGAGGCUGCCUGGCUUGUGCCAAUAUUGCAGUGAUACCGGCAAUACAAAUGCUGGUAUUUUUCUCAGUAUAAACAAGAGAUUACUAUGCAAUACCAGCACUGGCCAGUAGGGGUCACUGUGUGUGGAGACAGGCAGGGAUAGGAAGUUCCAGCAUAUCCCUCCCUGCCUAUCUAUACUCACUGAUCUGCUGGGCUGCAGUUACAGAGAGUCCAGACAGCAACUCCCACCCUGCAGAGACAGCCUACAGCUCAGGGAAGUAAGGGAUGGGGGAAAGGCUGCAAGGAGACAUACACUGAGACACUAAGGGACACUGGGAGACAUUAUGACAGACACUGAGACACUAAGGGACAUUGGAAGACAUUAUGACACAGACACAUGGGGACACAGUGUCCCCAUGUCUUCCAGUGUCCCCAUGUCUCCCAGCCAGUGUCCCUGGUGUCUCAGUGCCCCCUAGUCUCCCAGUUUCUCACUGUCCCCAUGUCUCCUAGUGCCUCCAUGUCUCCCAGUGCCUCAAAUGUCUCAAUGUCCCCAUGUCUCCAAGCUAGUGUCCCUAGUGUCUGUGGCCCUGGUGUCUCAGUGUCCCCAUGUCUCCCAGUGCCCCCAUGUCUCAAUGUCCCCAUGUCCCCCAGUCAGUGUCUCUAUUGUUUGUGUCCCCAUGUCUUCAAGUGUCCCCUAUUUUCCCAGUGUCACUGGUGUCUCUGUGUCCCUAGGUCUCCCCGUCUUCCUAGUGUCCUAGUGACACAUACAUGGGGACAUAGACACAUGGGAAUACUGGAGGACACAGGGAGACAUGGGGCAUUGAGACACUGUGAUACAUAGGGACACUGUGAUACAUAGGGUCACUGGGAGACCUGGGGACACGACACUAGGGGACACUGGGAGGCAUGGGGCACUGAGACACUGAUACAUAGGAACGCUGAGACCUGGAGUAAUUGACACAUGGGGGCACUGGGAGGAAUCCAUCUAUACAGCAUAAUCAAACUAAGUAGUUUUUUGGUGAUUUUACAGCAUUUUCUCUUAUGUCACUCCUUGUGAUUUACAUCAUGUGAUAUCACCCAUACAUAUUUAAUUAUGCAAAUUAGUAAGGCCAGUAUGUUUUUCCAAGAAAGGUGGCAACCCUAACUACUUUUCACAUACUCUUACUUAAAUAUGGAAACUUAAGAGGAAUGUAUGGGAACAAAACUUGUGUGGACUGGCUAACAAUGAAUAUAGUUAAAGGGACACUAUAGUCACAAGAACAACUACAGCUUAUUGAAUUUGUUCUGGUUAGUAGAAUCAUUACCUUCAGGCUUUUUGCUGUAAACACUGUCUUUUCAGAGAAAAUGCAGUCUUUACAUUACAGCCUAGUGAUAACUUCACUGGCCACUCCUUAGAUGGCUGUUAGAGAUCCUUCCUGGGUCAUGGCUGCCUAAAAUGCAUCCAAACAUUCAGUGUCUCCUCCCUCUGCAUGCAGACACUGAACUUUCCUCAUAGAGAUUAAUUUAUUCAAUUCAAGCAGCCAUGAGGAGAUGCUGAUUGGCCAGGGCUGUGUUUGAAUCAUGCUGACUCUGCCCCUGUUCUGCCGUUUUGUCAGUCUCCACCAAUCCUAUGGGGAAGCACUGUGAUUGGAUCAGGCCACCACUUCUAAUGAUGUCAGCAGACUGCUUGUUUUUCUGAGUCUAACAGCAUGCAGAGUUACAGCUUCAGGCUUGAAUACAGUAAGAGUUUUACUAUAUUUAUGGAGGCAUGAGGGGCCCAGGGGGGUUAGAUGGUGGUGUUAACACUAUAGGGACAGGAAUUCAUGUUUGUGUUCCUGACCCUAUAGUGAUCCUUUAAGGUAAUGCUGACUUUGGUCUGUCUAACACUGUGGCAUCUUCCCUUUCUUCUACACUCACUACAUACAGCUUUUCUCUGUUCCAGACUAUAUACCAGGAGCGUCUGCCUGCUAGUAAGAAGGUAAGGAGACAAGUGGACCAGCGAGUGCUAGGGGACAGUCCUUCAUUAGAUGCAUUUAUGCCAAGCUCAGGGUGCUGUCUGCAUAGUAUGCCCUUAGUUGGCCAGCUGCAUGAUUGGCAGGCAGUCUGACAUGCAUUCAUGCCAGGCUGGCCUUCUAAUUCUUUGGGCAGACAUGUCCUCUUUUUGGGUAUGUUCACCCCUUUUGGCAGGUUACGUGAUUUGUGUCAGUGGCACACCCUUUUACCGUGCCCAUUGACUUCCUGCUUGACUGGACACUGCUGUUAGGGGUUAUGGAUUUACUUGAAAGAUGAAAGCAUAAAUUAGAGGGAGAUUUCUUGUAGCUGCUGUUUUCUUUCUCUCCAGCACCAUCUCCAUCAGAUACAUGACACUUGGGAGUGUUUUAGUGUUUUUGGUCGAUAUGAUUCUGUAAUUAGGCCAGUCAUAAUUGUCAGCACCAGGCCCACUGAGCUGUUAAUCUGGCCCUGCCAAAGGGUUCACAUACAUUUUCUUGCAACUGUAUGCAUAUGCUGUCCGCGUUUACCCUGUUUGUAGUGAAAUUUAGCCUUAUCUCUAAUACUGGACUUCCCUCUCUUGUUUAGCGUGAAGUAUGUUUUACAAUCAUAAAUGAAGAUUAAGAUAUACACACACAGAUUUUGCCUAUGCCCAUUAACUUCCCUGUAAAUUUUAAAGAGAAUAACAUUUUCUUCUGAUCUGGGAUUAAUUAAACGUAAUCUCAUGCUUAUUAUGUUCUGGCACUCUGAGGAUGUUGGAGAAUUUUUCCAUCAAUUUUCUCAAAAUGACGAGUGACUCUCUUAAUUUUUUGUCAGACUGAGCAAUAACUCCACUCCAUUGGAUUUAGUCCUUCUAAUCUACAGGUGUGAUUGGGUUUGUGUCUGUAAGAAUCCCUCCUUCCGUGUUGGCUCACUGUUCCACCUGUGUUUAAUAGUUUGCCUAAUUUUAUUUUAUAUCCUGUAACUGAACAUACCAUUUUAUAGUCCAGGUGGACUAUAUGAAUAUACAUUUCCUGGCUAAUCAUGGCAGCAUCACUUAUGGGUAGCUCCUCCCUUAGCAGUCACAGGACAGGAAUUAAUUAGAUUAAUUAAUCAGACUGAUAGGUAUAAGGAGUCCCUCCUCCCCCUACACCUCAGUCUUUUUUCCUGUCCUUAGCAAGUUCUACAGGACUUUUUUACAUUUUAUUUUAUGGCCACCUUCCUGCGUUUGUCGUGUGUUCGUUCCAAAUGAAGUUCAGCCUCUCUUCAUUUGAAGGGUCCAGUAAACAGCCUGCAUGAACAGGACUAACUGGAUCAGGUUCAGUGUAAGUACUGAACUGCAGCGUGGGAAGUAAGUGUUUGAGGGAAACACUGUUAUGUUUGUUUGUGGGGUUGGUUUAGCCUUAAAAAUUCCCCUGGUUUUAACCUGCCCCUACUAAUUGGGGCCAUUUAUCCCACCCCAUGCUUGGAUGGCAGCCUUUGAAUCCAUACUUAGGCUUGUGUGGUUUGGUACCUUUAACUGGCCGUCUGGGUGUUCCUGUCUAAAAGACUUCCUGCUCUCUGGGGCUCCUUGGGCGUCCGGCCGUUGGGAGCUGGAACGCAUUCUGCGUUCCAGCCCACUGUAUGACGCUCGCGGCCGGUUUCUGUGAAACCGGAAGUGAAUUGCACGCCGGCCGCGAGCGUUUGGAACGCAUGGAGUGCGUUCCAUCGCUCUGCGCAUGCGUGGACCGGGCAAUCAGCUGUUUCAGUGCCCGGUCCUAUUUAAAGCCUCAGAUACAGCUUUCUUGUGCUGUAUCUGCAGUCCUACAGUUGUGUUCCCCCAGGGAAUUGAUUUCUUACCACUGCUUCUCCUGUUACCUGGCUGCUUGGUGGAACUCUUCUUCUUUAAGGUAGGAUUUCUAUUUUUUACUGAUUAGAAGUUUGCUUUCAUCAGCUUGCCUCUUAUCCAUUUGUGAAAUUAGUAUGGAUUCUCCCUCUGCCUCUGCAAGAUCCCUCUCUAGAAAACAUAGGUGAGCCAUUUAUUAAAUUUAUGGGGGGUUGUUAAGAGUGCCAUACUAAGCCUGUAAUAUAUGUCAUAUAUGGCUUUAUUCCAGUCCCAGCAUUCAUUUGGAUUCUCCAGCAAGAAAAUCACGGGAAAAGUCAAAUAAAUGCAUUAAUUGUUCAUCGCCUGCUCCGAAUGGAAGGAACCUUUGCAGGGAUUGCUUGUUGGAAGUCGCAGACGCCCCCGGUAGGGGUUCUCCACAGGACAACCUUAAACUCUGGAUUUCCCAAGCUAUUGCUGAGGGCUUUAAGGUUACCACGGGAUCUAGUGGUCAGAGUAAGAGACGCAGAGCGGAACUUCAGUCUUCCAGCUCUGAUGAAGACCCUGAUGUGUGGGAGGUCUCGGAUGAAGGUGAGGAGGAAACUGAAUAUACCUCCAGGUCUCUUGACUCCAGGUCUGUUGAUAGACUUAUUACCCUUCUCAGAGACACUCUUAGUCUCAUUGAAGAAAGGUCUGAAUUAAAAGAGGCUGACAGGUUCUUUGAGGACCUAAAACCUAACAGACCGACUUUCCCGGUGCAUACAUCAAUCAGGGAUAUGAUCCUUCAGGAAUGGAAUAAGCCGGAAAAGAAGUCCACCUUAAAAAAAUAAGUUCACGAGGGUUUAUCCGUACUCUUCAGUGGACUGCUGCCUGUGGAACUCCUAAAAUUGACGCUGCAGUGAUCCAUAUGGCUAAGAAAACGACACUGCCUAUUGACUCCAUGGCAUAUCUAAGAGAGCCUAUGGAGAAGCGUAUGGAUGGAGACCUGAUUAAAACCUACUUGGCCCUAGGGUCCGCCCUUCAUCCGGCAGUGGCACUAAUUACUCUCUCCAGAGCCUUGAAAGUGUGGCUCGCUAAUCUGAGGGAGGACAUUGAUCAGGGUGUCCGCAGGGAACAUCUGUUGGAGAGCCUCAAGGACUUUAGUCUGGCCACGGAAUUCUGUUCAGAAGACUCCCUGGACAUCACUCGCAUGAUUGCCAAAAGCAUGGCCCUAUCUGUGGCUUCUAGAAGGGCUCUGUGGCUUAAUUCGUGGGGUGCUGAUUAUGCUUCUAAGGCUUCCCUGUGUGCACUUCCGUUCCAAGGGGAUCUCCUUUUUGUGAAUAUUCUGGAAGAUGCUAUUCAAAAAGCUGCUGAUGGGAAAAAGGCGUUUUUACCUCAAGCCGGCAGGAAGAGUUUUCCUCCCUCCUGGAAGACCAAGCGCUUCAAAGAUAGGUCCUUUUGGGACAGCAGGAGCUAUAAACCUGGAAGGGAAUUUUCUAGGAAUUCUUCAUGGAAGUCCUUCUCGCAUUCAUCUUCCAAUAAGCCUUCCAGAGGAAGGGGUGCUAGGAUCCCAGGGAAGAACUUCUGAAGGUCUACAGGCCCGUUCGGGGACGGUGGGAGGAAGACUGAAGUUCUUCUACCCUGUAUGGGCCAGCAAUAUUUCGGACCUAUGGGUCACUUCCAUCAUAAAGGAAGGUUACAAAAUAGAAUUGUCAUCUUACCCGAAAACUGCAUUCUUCCGAAAAUCAAAGGUGUCGGUAGGCAUCAAACGAAGGGCCAUGAGGUCCUGCAUUUCUGUACUCCUGGAACAAAAAGUGGUGGAAGAAGUUCCAAAACGGGAAAGGUUCCGGGGAAUUUACUCCACAGUGUUCUUGGCCCCAAAACCACAGGGAAAGUGGCGUCUCAUUUUGAAUUUAAAAGGCGUAAACUCCUUGCUCAACGUAAGGACGUUCAAAAUGGAAUGCUUGAGGACCAUCUUGAAGUGUGUCAAAAAGGGAGACUGGAUGACCUCAAUAGACUUAAGGGACGCUUACUAUCAUAUCCCGAUACAUCAAGAUCACAUACAGUUUCUCAGGUUUUGGGCGCUAGGAAGGCACUUCCAGUUCCAGGGACUACCGUUUGGCCUCAGCCUGGCUCCAAGAACGUUCUCAAAAGUUCUGGUCACCUUAAUAGCCUUUAUAAGGGAAAAGGGUAUCGAGAUCUUCCAUUAUUUGGACGACAUUCUUAUCUUGGGUCCAUCUCAAGGAAUUGUAGCUCAGCAUACGUCAGUGGCAAUGUCCAUUCUUCAAGACCAUGGAUGACUUCUGAACGUAGAAAAGAGCUCCCUCGUUCCUGCGCAAACCAUAAUUUUCCUGGGUGCAGCGGUGAAUACAGUGUCUGCACAUGUGUUCCUGUCUCCAGAAAGGGUCACGAAAAUCAGAGACAAAGUAAGGAAGCUGCAAGUUCUUGAAACUGCACCUGCAAGAGAAGUCAUGAGUCUCCUGGGUUCCUUGACAUCAACAAUAGGGUUGGUGAAGUGGGCCCAGUGGAAGUUCCGUCCGGUCCAGAACUGCUUCCUUCUCCAGUUCGACAGAGUGGAAGCGGAUUGGGAACAGAUGAUAUCUCUUCCCCUCCCUGUAAGGAAAGGCUUAAACUGGUGGAAGAGCGAGAGGAAUUUGACAACAGGCUUCCCGUUGGAAGAUCCCCCUUGGAAGGUUAUUACGACAGAUGCCAGUUCUUUUGGAUGGGGUGCCCACUUCAGUUCUAUAUGGACUCAAGGGAAGUGGUCCCGAGAAGAGAGUCGCCUACAGUCAAACUUAAGGGAACUGAGAGCGGUUUACAAGGCCAUUUUGAGAUUCCUGCCAAGAGUAAGGAAUUCUUGGGUUCAAAUCAAGACAGACAACAGAGCGGUGGCCUCAUAUGUGAACAACCAAGGUGGCACGAGGAGCAGGUUGCUCCUGGAAGAGCUGGCUCCCUUAAUGGCUAUAGCCAUGACCUAUCUUCAAGGCCUGAAGGCGAUUUAUCUCCCAGGUUCGGAGAACGUAACGGCAGACUUCCUCAGCAGAAAGGAAAUUCUUCCGGGAGAAUGGCAACUUCACCCGGCGAUCUUUGCAGAAAUUGCACAUCGGUGGGGCAUGCCCCAGAUCGACCUGAUGGCAUCAUCUCAGAAUCAUCAGGUGGAGAAUUACUUCUCUCUCCACCCGGACUGUCAGGCACUGGGCCAGGAUGCUCUCUCUCUGCCUUGGUCGUUCGAUCUGGGGUAUGCUUUCCCUCCCCUACCCAUGAUUCCCAGGUUCCUGCAGAAGGUUUGGUCGGAAGGCAAAAAAGUAAUUGCCAUAAUUCCGAUUUGGCCUCGGAGGCCGUCGUUUCCCCUAUUGGCCAGGAUGAGCCAGGAACAACCUUGGCCUCUUCCAGUGAUGGAGGAUCUGCUCAUGCAGGGCCCUGUUUUCCAUCCUCAUCCUGGGGGUAUGGGUCUUGAGAAAGAAAGACUCCAAUUACUAGGUCUCUCAGAGGCAGUGAUCAAUACCCUUCUGCUCUCCAGGAAGGCUUCCACUUCCUCAUGCUACCAUAGGAUCUGGGAUGUGUUCCAAGCAUGGGCUUCGUCUAAUAAUGUGGACUUUCAGCAUCCUAGCAAUACUGAAGUUUUGGAGUUUCUGCAAGAGGGCCUGGACAAGGGCCUUAGCCUCAGCACCCUGAAGGUUCAGUCUUCUGCACUUUCAGCUUUGUGCAACAUCUCAUGGGCUUUGGAUCCUUUGAUUUCCAGGUUCUUCAAAGCGGCCUUCAGGUUGAGGCCUCCUUCCAGAUCUACUACCCCUCCUUGGGACCUUCCUCUGGUGCUCAAUUAUCUCACUGAGGAUCUGUUUGUUCCUCUUGAAAGUUUGGAUGCUACUCUCCUGACGUAUAAAACUUUGUUUUUGGUGGCAAUUACUUCCGCAAGACGGAUUUCAGAGAUUAAGGCAUUUUCUACAUCAUCUUCUUGUUUACGAUUCUACCAAGAUAGGGUGUGUCUGAAACCAAAACCAGAGUUUCUUCCUAAGGUGGUUUCUCAGUUUCACCUCUCUCAAGAAGUGGUUCUUCCAUCAUUUUACCCCAACCCCUCUUCUCAGGAGGAGGUUAGAUGGCAACGUUUGGAUGUCGUGAACUGCUUGUCUGCAUAUCUUAAACGUUCUGAGUCUUUCCGUAAAACGGACCAACUCUUCGUUUUGCCGUUGGGAGCAAGGAGAGGUGAGGCGGCUUCUUUAUCUACGUUGGAUUUCUCUGAUAAUUAAGAAGGUGUAUAUCUCUAACGGUAUAUCACCCCCACGGGAGAUAAGAACUCAUUCUACUAGAGCAUUAUCAACUUCAUGGGCUAGCUGGGCAGAGGUUCCAUACGAUGAUAUUUGCAGAGCAGCCACCUGGUCUUCUCCGAUGACAUUCAUGAAGCACUACAAACUAGAUGUGGAUUCUCCUUUCACCUCCAUUGGGAAGAGUGUCCUGUCUAUGGUUUCUUUAUCCCGUUGAUAUUAAACUUUUCUUUGCUGCAUGUGAUUCAGUUUGGUGUAAUUUCUUGGAUUAUUAUUCCCACCCUAUAUUUCUGUGAAGCGUGGAUAUUACCCAUAAGUGAUGCUGCCAUGAUUAGCCAGGAAUAGAGAAAAUUUAUGACAAACUUACCGUAAUUUUCUUUUCCUGGCUAUUUCUCAUGGCAUCAUCAGGGUUCCCGCCCGUUCUUUUAUUUCAGCUUUAUAAUUGGACUAAGGUGUAGGGGGAGGAGGGACUCCUUAUACCUAUGAGUCAGAUUAAUUAAUCUAAUUAAUUCCUGUCCUGUGACUGCUAAGGGAGGAGCUACCCAUAAGUGAUGCUGCCAUGAGAAAUAGCCAGGAAAAGAAAAUUACGGUAAGUUUGUCAUAAAUUUUCUCUAUUAUACUGUAUAUUUUCUUUCUGUUUCUUUUUUUUAUACUUCGUGUUUUUGUUUUGUUUGUUUUGCCUUCUUUUUCCCUGAGUAUUCUCCACAAAUAUCCUUUUCAUCUGCAAGAUAAUGGCUGAAAGGUAUGAUAACAUUCAGGAAACUAUGCUUAAUGCUAAGGUAUAAACACCAUAGACAAUGUCCACCUUAAAAAACAGAUAUUUUACACACAGCUAUUCUCAUCCACCUUCAAAACAAAAGGAGUGUCCAUUCUGUUCACUGGCUCUGUGCACCUUUGUCAGACACUGAAGGCCAUAAUGUUUUUGUUAAAGGUAAAAUAUGUAGUUUCCUUUUUAUGAAUGCUAAUGUUUAUGCUCAUACUAUAAACCAGAUUUCUUUUCUGUUACUGUGUGCUUUGUAGUUUAUGCAGUUUUAUGGAAAAAUCUUAAUUUUUGAAGGUGACCUGAAUGUUUCUCUAAUUCCCAUAGUAGACACCUCCAAUGGUAAGGUUUAGCAUACUUCUUAUGCUAGUAGACAAUGGUCCAGGCACUUAAGUUGUAACCAACAAUGCAGGUUUAUUGCGAGCGUUUACAGUCGUUUUAACCCCAAAAGGUCUUUUUCAAGCUUAAAAAUGUUGCCUGUACACUUUCAGAAUAAACCUGUGUUUUUGGCAACACCUUAAGUGCCUGGACCAUUGUCUACUGUCUAAACUACAGAGUGGGGUUUGGCCUACCUCCUGCCUAUACUCUUUAUGGACCAUACAUUUUUGAAUUGAGAUUUUGGACCUUCUGAACUGGAAACAGCUCACAAGGCUGAUGUGUCUGAUACUACUCUCUAAUAAGUCAUAUUUCUUACAACUAAGAUUGCUCCUUUACUAAAUCUGAAAGUACAAGGCAUAAUGUUCAAAGUAAACCAACAUACCAUCAUGAUUAUUCACUAAAGUGAGAAUUCAACGUAACUUUUACAUUUAAGUUAAAACAGUUGAAAUGGAAAAAUUAUCUUGGUCUUAAAUUUGAAAUUCACUUUGAAUUCUCACUUUAGUGAAUAAUCCUGUAUUUCUUUGGCAAUAUAAGCAGCCGUCUCCUGGCUCAUAUAUUGAAAGAUAUUAAAUUGAGAUCUUACAUGGGGAAAAAUGUGGUCACCUUGGCCAAAUAGAUAUUUAACUGAUGAAAUUGCAUAUUAUGUCUCAGAGCACCUGUGCUCCAUCCCACCUGAAGGUUCCAUUAACCAUAAAGACAAGCCCCUCAUGUUGGAAGAACUGAAGCAGCCUUGAAAGUGUCCAAAGAGUCCUGGACCUGGCGGGUUUACAUUAAAAUGCUAUAAACCUUUCUUUGAUAUAUUCGUCCCCCACUUCUCAAAAGCCUUCAGUGCUAUUCCUGGGAUAGCCAACAAUCCUCCCCAGACUUCAACUGCUACAAUUACAUUAAUACAAAAAGCAGAAAUUAUCCAACUAACUGUGGGAACUAUUUGCCUAGUUCCUUCUAGAAUAUGGACAUAAAAUGUUUCUCAAAAAUUCUGAUGACAAACUGAAGCAUUAUAUUCCUAGUAUGGUGCAUUCAGACCAGGUUGACUUUGUGACUGGCCAGGGGGCACAUUCUAACACUAUGAGGACUGUUGAUUGGAAUGUGUGUCUGGGAUACUCAAUCGCUCCUUCCCCUCUGUGCCACCCAUCACUUCCCAUCAUUCUGCCCUCCAUUACUUUCAUAGACUGUCCUAUACGUAAUAAAAUAAAUGCAAAUAUAAAUAUUUUGCAGAUAAAUCAAUGCUGUAUUUGAAUGUAGAUCACUGGAAUUUAACACCAAUAUAAAUCUGAUUUAAUGUUAUUAGAAUGUAUUAUCGUCCGUGCUGGAGCUGCGGAGGUCCUCCAUGGGAAUUGCCUUAUUAGAAUCUCUUUUUAAUUUCUGGGUCUGCUCCAGGCUUGGAGGUUGCAGAAUGUUUGGAGGAUGAAGGAUUCAGUUUAGACAGGUAUUUCUUUUCUGCAACACACAUAGGGCUUUUCACGUCCUCAUCAGGAUGUUCUGGUAUAGAUUCAAAUCUGGGACUCUGAAAAAGAUAACUUAUUGCUUAUAUUCACAAUAGUUUUUUUUUUUUAUCAUAACAUCACCAUGUCAUCCUUAUAAUAUCAAAGAUGUUCUACAUAUAAAAUCGAUCAGGUGGCCACGUCAAUACAACAGAGUAGUGAGGAAGUUUUUAAAUCAUUCAAUUAAGAUCCAAUAUAUAAUCCAGAAUUUUGGCCAAUAUGCUACGUUGGUAAUACAUAUUUUGCUAGCAGCUAAAGUACUAAUUGCCAGAAACUGGAAAUCUUUUUAAAGUUCCAGUCUGGGAGGAAGUUAAAGUACACGUGAUUUAUCAGAUAAAAAUGGAGAUAGGUAUUGUUAAAGAAUCAAAUAAGAUGAAAGAAUGGCUCGGUAUGAUACAGCAACUUUAAAGCUUAUAUCAAAUAUAUUCUAUAAGAUAGGAAUGAAGCAACCCUGCUUACAUUAAUGUAAAGGUAUUUUAUUGUCUAAAAGAAUUUAAAAGGAUAUUAGAAAUGUAUCCUGGUUCCCCUAUCCUCUUCGCUGGAAAUAUUGUUAGGUGUCUUUUCGUGUGUUAUAUUAUGAAUAGAAAAAUAAACAGUUUUCUCCCUAUAUGAAUCAGACCUAGACACUGUACUAAUAUAUACAACUAGAGAUCCCUGUUAGGGAUGUUAAUAAAAUCUGAAUAAUGUAAUAUUUAAUGUGUUUAUGUCUAAUGUAUUGUAUCAUGUUUUUUUUUUUUUUUUAUAACAAUAAAAGUAAAAUAUUAAACAUGAAAAAAAAAAAAAAAAUUAAGAUCAUCACACAACUAGAUUAGAGUUCGUCUUUAGAGUCUAAAAACUAGGUGAUCCCCAUAGGGGAACAGGUGGCUUUUUUUUAUUAGUGUUAGUGAUCUAUCUAAAGCCAGAACAUUAUUAUUUAUGUCCCUAUUAAGGCCUUGAUUAAAUGUGUUUGAAUCAGAAAUUAUUACUAUAUGUUACAAAAUAAAUGUUUUCAAACAAUUUAUCUACAGAAUUCAUCAAGAAAGAAACAACAAACGCCCUUACUCCUUUGUCACAUGGAGCUUCUGUUUACUUACCAUGGAGAACUUCCUCCUGAGACGAAAUGGGUUGUCUCUGAUCCUACGCAGCUCAUCAACUCGAGAGUGUGACUGAGUUGUUGCUUCAUAAAUUUGAGUUGAAUUUAUGUAACACCCAGGGACCAUUAACCGAGGAUAUACAACGCGCGCCAUGAUAGCUUUUACCAACAAGCAGGAGCACUACAAGAUUUAGUUUGCUAGAGAAUGGACUAAUGUUUGCAAAUGUAAUAAUACUGAAC
rnacentral:lncRNA from 1 species